CUGGAAGCGUGUGAGUGUGUGUGUGUGUGACUGUGUGUGUGCGCGCGUGUGUAUGUUUGUGUGUGAGUGUGACUGUGUGUGCGCGCGCACGUGCAUGAGUGUGAGUGUGAGAGCGUGUGAGAGUUUGUGCGUGUGUAUGUUUGUGCGUGAGUGUGACAGUGAGUGUGUGCACGCACGUGCAUGAGUGUGUGAGUGUGAGAGCGUGUGAGAGUUUGUGUAUGUGUGUGAGUGUGAGAGCGUGAGAGUUUGUGUGCGUGUGUAUGUUUGUGUGUGUGACAGUGUGAGUGUGUGCGCGCACGUGCGUGAGUGUGUGAGUGUGAGAACGUGUAAGAGUGUGUGUGCGCGUGUGUAUGUUUGUGUGUGAGCGUGAGAGUGUGUGCGUGUGCGCGCGCACGUGUGUGUGGUGUGUGAGUGUCUCUGUGUGUGAGUGUGAGUGUGCGUGAGUGUGCGUGAGUGUGUAAGUGCAUGAUGUGUGCAUGUGUAAGUGUGUGAGGGAGUGUGAGAGUGUGUGCAUGUGUGUGAGAGUGUAUGCAUGUGAGUGUGUGAGAGUGUGUCUGAGUGUGUGUGUGUGUGUGUGUGCGCGCGCGCAUGUGCUGCUUUGACAAAGGAGGGGCUCCGAUCGAGAAACCAGAUGUCGCUUCCGGACCCAAAGGCUAAGCCGGUGGCAGCCUCAGCCGCUAGCUGGAGCCUGCGGUGUGGGUGUGGGACAGUCACUCCUCCCCGCCGGGGCAGGGGCGCUGGUGCUCAGGGGCCCACGGUUGCAGCCUGGAGUGAAUGGUUUGUCGCCUCCUCCAAAAAUAGCAGAGAGCGGGAGUUGGAGUGUUAGCCUUUUCUCUUAGUGGACAGUAGCCAAAAGAGGGAUGGAGUCAAAGCAUCCAGAAGGCGUUAAAAACUGCUUUGAUGAGAUGGAAGUCACCUAUGCUCACAUUCCAUGGACCAAAAUCAGGCAAAUGGGCAAGUUCAAAGUCAGUGAUGCCACCAUUGUACUUUGCAGCCAAUAUGAUAGAAGAGCUCUGCAUUCUGAAAGUUUCUUGAGCAGAACCGUAGAAGGAACACAAAGGUCUCUAUGAUUUUCCACACCUUGCUAGUAUCUUUUUACUUCUUAAACUCUUUCCCAGUUCCUGAAGGGCAUGGUAUCAUGUUCUCCUGGCUGUCCAAGUACCUUAGACUGUGGGAUCUGGAGUUUCUAUCAAGGCUGCCCCUGUGGUGUAGAAGAAUAUGUAAAUAUCUUCUCCCUAUAUUUUGGCUUCCCCAAAGUGAGUGCAAAAUUCUUCCUUUGCCCAUGCUAUCCAUACAAGAGAGGAAGUUAGUUUGAAUGCUGGAGACAUCCAUGGAGCUGUUUUCAUUCUUUCUCUGCUUCACCCCACAUGAGCUGGAAGUUUGCUGAAGGUCCUACUCUAUGUAGUUAUUGGAUUAGAGAGGUUUAAAGAUAAGAGGGCCAUUCUUAGCUAUUUGGCUUGGGGCUUGUCAUGUAAGUUUAAUCAUGUAUGUUACAGAGGA
rnacentral:lncRNA from 1 species